rnacentral:rRNA from 1 species
AGUGAACGCUGGCGGCAUGCCUAACACAUGCAAGUCGAACGGCAGCACAGUAAGAGCUUUCUCGUACGGCUGGCGAGUGGCGGGUGGGUGAGCAAUACAUCGCCUUCUACUUUGUCGUGGGGGACAACGUAGGGAAACAUACGCUAAUACCUCAUACGACCUACGGGGUAGACCUGCGGAUCUUCCGAGCUUGCGCGACUGCAUGUGCCGAUGUCGGAUUAGCUAGUUGGCGGGGUAAAGGCCCACCAAGGCGACGAUCCGUAGCUGGUCUGAGAGGAUGAUCAGCCACACUGGAACUGAGACACGGUCCAGACUCCUACGGGAGGCAGCAGUGGGGAAUAUUGGACAAAGGGCGCAAGCCUGAUCCAGCUAUGCCGCGUGAGUGAAGAAGGCCUUCGGGUUGUAAAGCCCUUUUGUUGGGAAAGAAAAGCAGCAGGUUAAUACCCCGGUGUUCUGACGGUACCCAAAGAAUAAGCACCGGCUAACUACGUG